GUAAGCGUAAAAGGAUAGAUUUGUCUACCUCUAGUAAGUUAAACUAAGGAUAGAUCGGUUAUUGAAAACGGCCGUUAGUGAAUUAUUAUGAGACGGACUAUUAAAAUGUAUUGACUGUCAUGUUUUUAACUUUAGUUAAUGCACAAACGUGAUUUCUUUAUAUUAUAAACUAUUAACUUAAGGCUGCUAUCCCAAGAAAUCGCCAAAAUAGCGCAUUAUUGAAACCAUUUCAUAAAGUUUUAUAUAAAGUUUGUAUUUUUACAAAAAAUAUUUAUAUGUCUACAGAAUAUGAGAAGAAAAUUCAUUUUUCUUUUACAUUUCUAUCUCCAUGCGGAAAAGUACCAACGAAGUACCCCUCUCCUCCCUCCCUCCCUCUCCAACUCUUACAGUUGGAGACAUCUUAAUCAUUCAAUAUAGAUAAAGAUUAUAUUAAAAACUAUUAACUGUAAGAGUUAGGGGUAUUUUGGUGGUACUUUUUCGCAUGGAGAUAGAAAUGUGAAAAACAUGAUAUAGUUUUGUUAUUUUUGUUAAGAAAAUUGUAUUAUGUUUGUAGUAAAUUAAAAUUGCUUCUAAUUCAGAAUUAAAACUAUGACGAUCUUGUACGGGAGAGGUAUCCUAGCUUCGCUCGAUUCCUCAAGGCCGUUGAUUUGAUCUCCAGCCUUAAAUACUUCCAAGUGCUCACAAAUAGUAGAUUGUUAACCGAGGGUCUAAAGAAUCAAUUCCCGAGGUACUUAGACCGGCUAUAGUCCGAGCAGGAAUUGAUUCUUUUACCCGUGUUAAACACUCUACUUUUCAUUUCGAAUAUGAGGAAAAUAAAACUAGUUGUUUACCAGUUAUUUAUUCAUAAUAUUUAAUAAUAUUAGUAGUACCUAUUUAAAAUUAACUGUCAAAUUAGGACAAUUUAUGUCGACUUUUAAAAUUUUAAAUAUAGAACUCACCGCGUAAUUGUUGCGGUUUAUUCCGCUUAAAGAAGUUUGCGCUAAGUUCAAACUGGCUGUUUAGAAAGUCACAUGGUCGCAGCAUUUUUUUAAUUAGUUGUUUUUUUAGAUAAAACUCUUCACAGCUGACAGCAGUUCUAUUUUUAAAGUUUAUUCCGGCCCUUAGGUGGGAAAUAAUUUGUAUGAGUUUUUCCCUCUGUAUGGAAGGAAGCAGCAUUUUCCACCCAAUAAUCAGAUCAAAACAACAUUAUUAAACAUUCCGAGUAUGUGAAAUGAAAAAGUCUUUUUCGUCCAUAGAGAGCUUCCCUCCAUAGAGAGGGAAAAACUCAUACAAAUUACUUCCCACCUAAGGCCGGAAUAAACUUUAAAAAUAGAACUGCUGUGAAGAGUUUUAUGUAAAAAAGAACUAAUAAAAAAAAACUGUCAUGUGACUUUCUAAACAGCCAGUGUGAACUUAGCGCAAACUUCUUUGAGUGGAAUAAACCGCAAACAUUACGCUGUAAGUUCCAUAUUUGAAAUUUAAAAGUCGACAUAAAUUGGCGGGAUACUAAUCUGUGCUUAGAUAAAAAACUAAUUUUAUUUUCCUCAUAUUCGAAAUGAAAAGUAGAGUGUUUAACUCGGGUAAAAGUAUCAAUUCCUGCUCGGACUAUAGCCGACGUCACUGCACUCGGGCGUCGAAAUACCUCGGGAAUUGAUUCGUUCGACCCUCGGUUAACAAUCUGCUAUUAAAUUACCGAAUCUAAUGCACGUUCGGAAAAAGUUGAGCUCGUGAGAAGAACAUAAAAGAAACUCAACGGCUACUUUUAAAUCAAUUGGAGUAUUUUAUAAAAGCUGUGAUAUACAUAACAAAUAAGUUUGUAAGUUGCUGCAUCCAAUAUAAUACGAAUCGUGUUGAAAAUUAAAAGAGUUUUAGGUACUUCAUAGAAAUAAACUGUAAAUAUAAAAUAUCGUAUAUUGGAUGCAUCAACCUUUAGAGCUUGAAUUCUUUAGAUUAAAUAUUGGUCUUCGCUGCGCUCCAACUAGUCACCGCAGGCUUAGCCGCAAAGUGCGGCAACUAAUACUACGCCCAAGUGGGCGUAAUCGAGCCAGUCUCGAACAAUGUGUGACGUUGACGUGCCACAUGUUCUGUUAAACUCUGCUAAUAAUUGAAACUAAAAUGCCGGGUUGCGUAGUAAAACUUUGUAAAAAUAAUACUACAAGAAAUAAGAAAGACACUGGGAUCAUAUAACAUCAGUAAGUAUUUUGUAUUUUAUUAAUUUAAAUGUAAAAUAACACGAAGCGUAUGUUACAAAUUUUGAAAGUUGCCAUUGAGUGUAAAUAUGCCACGCACACAAGCAUCUAAUAGUUCCCGUAAAAAAAAGCUAUUGUUCUUAGGUAGUGUGGUAUCUAGUUGGAGCGCAGCGGAGACCAAACCUUAAUCUAAGUUGAAUUCAUUGUUUUUGUACUAUUUAUGUACAUUGUUUGUGUAUCAUUACAAUUACACUAGUAUGCUGUGUAAUAUUUACAGUUUUAUAAUUAAUUGGUUCAUUUAUAACUUCAGUUCAACGUUGUACUGUUAAAUCUACUGUAAAUCAAAGUUAAACAAAAUGUAUUUUUAAAAUGUAUUUAUGACGGCGGAUGAGAAAAUAAAAUAUACAAUUUUGGACUUUAUUGAAUUUUAAAAACUAGAAAAAUAUAUAAAAAUUUUUGUAAAUCAAUGUGUUACCGAUAUUAAUUUCAGUUAAAAUAACACAACAUAUAACAUUAUAUAACUGUUAUAAUAACAGUUAAAUAACAGUUAAAAUAUAAUUUCAAUAUUUAAGUGUUUUUAAUUUAAAUUUAUAUGAAAUUAAUUAUUAAAUAUAAGUAUGCUUAUUUAAUACCAAGUGUAAUAUAUUAGAUUUAUUAUGAUAUAUCAUAGUGAGAUAUUGAAGCGAUGUAUGAGAUGAUAAUAUGACAAUAAAUACAGAUCAUUCCAUACGCA